GCUGCCGCCGAAUAGAAAGGUACUCGGCUACGAACCGAGCGGUCCGAGGUUCGAAUCCUCCCGGAUGCACCA
rnacentral:tRNA from 1 species